AGUGAACGCUGGCGGUAGGCCUAACACAUGCAAGUCGAACGGCAGCACAGUAAGAGCUUGCUCUUACGGGUGGCGAGUGGCGGACGGGUGAGGAAUACAUCGGAAUCUACUUUUUCGUGGGGGAUAACGUAGGGAAACUUACGCUAAUACCGCAUACGACCUACGGGUGAAGGCAGGGGAUCUUCGGACCUUGCGCGAUUGAAUGAGCCGAUGUCGGAUUAGCUAGUUGGCGGGGUAAAGGCCCACCAAGGCGACGAUCCGUAGCUGGUCUGAGAGGAUGAUCAGCCACACUGGAACUGAGACACGGUCCAGACUCCUACGGGAGGCAGCAGUGGGGAAUAUUGGACAAUGGGCGCAAGCCUGAUCCAGCCAUACCGCGUGGGCGAAGAAGGCCUUCGGGUUGUAAAGCCCUUUUGUUGGGAAAGAAAAGCAGCAGGUUAAUACCCCGCUGUUCUGACGGUACCCAAAGAAUAAGCACCGGCUAACUUCGUG
rnacentral:rRNA from 1 species